AUUGAACGCUGGCGGCAGGCUUAACACAUGCAAGUCGAGCGGAGAUGAGGUGCUUGUACCUUAUCUUAGCGGCGGACGGGUGAGUAAUGCUUAGGAAUCUGCCUAUUAGUGGGGGACAACAUUCCGAAAGGAAUGCUAAUACCGCAUACGUCCUACGGGAGAAAGCAGGGGAUCUUCGGACCUUGCGCUAAUAGAUGAGCCUAAGUCGGAUUAGCUAGUUGGUGGGGUAAAGGCCUACCAAGGCGACGAUCUGUAGCGGGUCUGAGAGGAUGAUCCGCCACACUGGGACUGAGACACGGCCCAGACGCCUACGGGAGGCAGCAGUGGGGAAUAUUGGACAAUGGGGGGAACCCUGAUCCAGCCAUGCCGCGUGUGUGAAGAAGGCCUUAUGGUUGUAAAGCACUUUAAGCGAGGAGGAGGCUACUGAGACUAAUACUCUUGGAUAGUGGACGUUACUCGCAGAAUAAGCACCGGCUAACUCUGUGCCAGCAGCCGCCGUAACAC
rnacentral:rRNA from 1 species